GACAGAGGGUGCAAACGUUGCUCGGAAUCACUGGGCGUAAAGAGCGUGUAGGCGGCCAGGUAGGUCGGUUGUGAAAACUGGAGGCUCAACCUUCAGAGGUCGACCGAAACCAUCUGGCUAGAGUCCGGGAGAGGAGAGUGGAAUUCCUGGUGUAGCGGUGAAAUGCGCAGAUAUCAGGAAGAACACCCGUGGCGAAAGCGGCUCUCUGGAACGGUACUGACGCUGAGACGCGAAAGCGUGGGGAGCAAACAGGAUU
rnacentral:rRNA from 1 species